UGGCAUUGAUUUUCCCUUUAAUUUAUUGCCAAUGGCAAUGGACAUUGAUGCCGAAAGAAAUAAAUUAUAUUUUCAAAUGGACGGAAUGCAAGCGUUUCAAUCCAAAAUUCGGUUAUAAAGUGUCGUGUCCUUACAAAUUCGUCAAUCGUUCGCAACAAGAAACAAAGCUUGAGGUCUACAUUCAUCCUGGACUAGCAGUGGACAAAGUUUUUAUGGAAGUAUCAACUCAAAAAAAAAUUGGAACGGUCUGGCGACCGACUCUGGUUAAAAUAAAAGAGAAUUUAUGCGACGCAUACGGAAAUAAAUCGCACACUCCCAUGGCUCAAGCAAUGCGUACGAUAUUCAAAAAUUCCUAUACAAAUCUGUUGGAACCGUGUCCGUGGACGGGAUUAAGAUAUCGAUACGGAAAAAUCAAUCCAACGUUAGACUUCCCACCAUUGGUGCCGAUUGGGGAAUGGAAAGUGAUUGUGAAUCUGACAACAACAAUGAAUCAAAUGGAAGAGUUUCUUCUGGAAUUGAUCGACGUUUAUGAAGUUACCCAGAAGUCGGCAACGCAAUUUUGAAACA